AUUGAACGCUGGCGGUAUGCUUAACACAUGCAAGUCGAACGAGUGGCGGACGGGUGAGGAAUGCAUAGGAAUCUACCUUUUAGUCUAGAGUAACUAAAAGAACGGGUGGCUAAUACUGGAUGCCAAGAGAUGGGCCUAUGUGGGGUAGGUAGUUGGUGGGGUAAUGGCUCAACAAGGCGACGAUCUCGAGCUGGGUGUAGAGGAUGAUCAGCCAAACUGGGACUGAGAAAAGGCCCAGACUCCUACGGGAGGCAGCAGUGGGGAAUAUUGGACAAUGGGGGAAAGCCUGAUCGAGCAAGUCCGCGUGUGUGAAGAAGGCCCUAGGGUUGUAAAGCUCUUUUGUUAGGGAGAUGUUACCUAAAGAAUAAGCACCGGCUAACUCCGUGCCAGCAGCCGCGGUAAUUC
rnacentral:rRNA from 1 species